UACGUAGGAGGCAAGCGUUGUCCGGAAUUACUGGGCGUAAAGCGCGUGUAGGUGGUGGGACAAGUCUGCUGUGAAAGCGCCUGGCUUAACCGGGCGAGGUCGGCGGAAACUGUCCGACUCGAGGACGGUAGAGGGGGGUGGAAUUCCCGGUGUAGUGGUGAAAUGCGUAGAGAUCGAUAGGAACUCCGGUGGCGAAGGCGGCAUACUGGACCACCACUGACGCUGAUGCGCGAAAGCCAGGGGAGCAAACGGG
rnacentral:rRNA from 1 species